UGGGAGAGAGGCGGGGUAUGCCUUUCCCAAUGGAGCGAACUCCACACACAGUAACACGCAUGGUAGCGAGAAAGAACUGAGACUGAGGGGGUUUCAUGUUGGAGAAAAUCAGAAAACAUUAAAGACACGAAGGGCAGUUACAGCAAGCCUCCUGAAGGAUUAGGAUCAAAGACACCUCUGACUCCGCGUAAGAACCGGGACAAAAAAGAGAAGAAUCAUCGAGCUUGCAAGGAUUUUUUUUAAAGUGACUCCAGAGAGUGAACACAAAGAACUGCAACAGCGAGAGACAUAAAACAGGUCCUCGCAGCGAAGCAGUCCAGAGUGUGUCGAAAUAAGUAGGGUAGAGAGCGAGGGAGAGAGAUUACAGACUUACACCAGUGGAAACAACAAAGCGGUGGGCUGAGAGAAUAUAGAUACACUAGGACAGGAAGAACUGCUAAAUAGUUUACUCUGGUGAAGUGCGGCCACUCGCCGCAGUGUAUGUGGAAGACACAAAAGGUUGGAGUAACUCAAUGGUCAGGCAGCUUCCCUGGGGAGAAGGAAUAGAUGACGUUUCAGGACGAGACUUCUUCAGAUACUAUUUAUGUCAUCUGAUUCAUACAGCCUGGCAUGCUGAGUGCUUCCAGCAUUUUCUGGAGGGUUUUCACAUUUCUGGAAUCUACAGAUUUUUGCUUUUUUAAAAAAUUUAACCUUGCACCCACAAUGGAAACAGCAAGUAUAAAAGAUAGAUAUGGAUUA